GACGAACGCUGGCGGUGUGCUUAAUACAUGCAAGUCGAACGGACCCUUCGGGGUUAGUGGCGGACGGCUGAGUAACACGUAGAUAACAUGCCCUUUACUGGGGGAUAACACCGGGAAACCGGUGCUAAUACCGCAUAAGCCUGAGGUUGAAAUACCUUUGGUUAAAGAUUUAUCGGUAAAGGAUUGGUCUGCGCCUGAUUAGCUUGUUGGUAGGGUAAAGGCCUACCAAGGCAAUGAUCAGUAGUUGGCUGAGAGGAUGACCAGCCAGAGUGGGACUGAGAACGGCCCACACUUCUACGGAAGGCAGCAGUAGGGAAUUUUGCGCAAUGGGCGAAAGCCUGACGCAGCAACACCGCGUGUAGGAUGAAGGUCUUCGGAUUGUAAACUACUGUCAGCAGGGAAUAAAUUGACUGUACCUGCAGAGGAAGCAUCGGCUAACUACGUGCCAGCCGCCGC
rnacentral:rRNA from 1 species